AGUAUAUGGGUUAGGACUAGUCGAGCACGGUUUGACUUCCACUCUAGGUAUAUGUGCUAGAGCAAAAGACUGACUAGACCCUAAGUAUAUGUGUUAGGGUUAGUCGGAUGAACUCUAAGUAUAUAUGUUAGAGUUCGAAUAAAGUUGAUAUCAUUUGACUGAAUUCUAAGUAUAUGGCUUAGAACUCUGUCGAUUUGGAGAUGUUUCGCCUUAGUUAUAUGUGCCAAGGCGAUUGACAUAGCCCUAAGUAUAUGUAUUAGGGGUAGUCGAUAUUUAAUUUUUACUCUAGGUAUAUGUGCCAGAGUAAAAAAAGGUUCACGAUGAGAUUUGGGUAUUGGUUCAUGAGAUUUGAGUAUUGGCUCAUGAGAUUUGGUUCAUGAAUUUGGAUAUGGUUCAUGAAUUUGGUGUAUGGACUUGGUUCAUGAACUUGGAUAUGGUUCAUGGAUUUGGUGUAUGGAUUUGGUUCAUGGUUCAAGGAAUUUGGGUUUAGUUUAACGACUUUUCGGUCGUUUGGAUUUGGGUUUAGUUUAACGACUUUUCGGUCGUUUGAAAUUUGGGUUUAGUUUAACGACUUUUCGGUCGUUUGAAAUUUGGGUUUAGUUUAACGACUUUUCGGUCGUUUGAAUUGGAGAGGCUCUGGAUUUUGGGGUUUUAUUUGUAGACUUAAGGUUUUGGGAUUUAUUUGUAGACUUUAGGUUUUAGGAUUUAUUUAUGGACUUUAGGUUUUGGGAUUUAUUUAUGGACUUUGGUUUUGGGAUUUAUUUGUGGACUUUGGGUUUUGGGAUUUAUUUGUGGACUUUGGUUUUGGGUU
rnacentral:lncRNA from 1 species